AGCUGUGGAGACCACACCAGCCAAAGGAAAGAAAGCUCCUGCAAAAGUUGUUCCUGUGAAAGCUAAGAGUGUGGCUGAGGAGGAAGACGAAGAAAAUGAUGAUGAGGAUAAAGAAGAUGAUAAAGAGGAGGGGGAGGAAGAGGAGGAAGAGCCUGUCAAAGAAGCACCUGGAAAACGAAAGAAGGAAAUGAUGAAACGGAAAGCAGCUCCUGAAGCCAAGAAACAGAAAGUGGAAGGAACAGAACCAACUACAUCUUUCAAUCUGUUUAUUGGAAACCUGAAUUCUAACAAAUCUGCUCCCGAAUUAAAAACUGGUAUAAGUGAUGUUUUUGCUAAAAACGAUCUUGCUGUUGUGGAUGUCAGGAUUGGUAUGACUCGGUAAGUGCUUC